rnacentral:rRNA from 1 species
GAUCCUGCCGGACCCCACUGCUAUCGGGAUAGGACUAAGACAUGCUAGUCGAGCGCCUCCCAGCCACGACGGAGGCGCGGCGCACAGCUCAGUAACACGUGGCUAACCUGCCCUCGGGACGGGAAUACCCCCGGGAAACUGGGGCUAAUUCCCGAUAGGUGAAGAACUCUGGAAUGAGUCUCCGCCCAAAAGACGCUUAAAUCAUGCUUUUAGGCGCCGCCCAAGGAUGGGGCCGCGACCGAUCAGGUAGUUGGUGAGGCAACGGCUCACCAAGCCUUUAACCGGUGCGGGCCGUGGGAGCGGGAGCCCGGAGAUGGGCACUGAGACAAGGGCCCAGGCCCUACGGGGCGCAGCAGUCGCGAAAACUUUGCAAUACACGAAAGUGUGACAGGGCUAUCCCGAGUGCCAUCCGCUGAGGAAGGCUUUUACCCAGUCUAGAAAGCUGGGCGAAUAAGGAGAGGGCAAGUCUGGUGUCAGCCGCCGCGGUAAUACCAGCUCUCCGAGUGGUGUGGAUGUUUAUUGGGCCUAAAGCAUCCGUAGCUGGCCAAGUUAGUCCCCUGUUAAAUCCACCGAAUUAAUCGUUGGUGUGCGGGGGAUACUGCUCGGCUAGGGGACGAGAGAGGCCGACGGUAUUUUCGGGGUAGGGGUGAAAUCCUAUAAUCCCGGGAAGACCACCAGUGGCGAAGGCUGUCGGCUAGAACGCGCCCGACGGUGAGGGAUGAAAGCUGGGGUAGCGAACCGGAUUAGAUACCCGGGUAGUCCCAGCUGUAAACGAUGCAGGCUAGGUGUUUGGGCGGCCACGUGCCGCUCUAGUGCCGCAGGGAAGCUGUUAAGCCUGCCGCCUGGGGAGUACGGUCGCAAGGCUGAAACUUAAAGGAAUUGGCGGGGGAGCACCACAAGGGGUGAAGCUUGCGGUUUAAUUGGAGUCAACGCCGGG